GGCCCGCAAGCACCGCGCGCAGUCCCGGUUCCUGCCCGCGCCUCUCCCUCCACACCUCCUUGCAAGCUGAGGGAGCCGGCUCUGGCCUUGGCCAGCCCAGAAAGGGGCUGCCAUAGUGCAGCGGAGGGCUGAAGGGCUCCUCAAGUGCCGUCAAAGUGGGAGCCCAGUCAGAGGAGGUGCCGAAAGCGAGCGAGGGCUGUGAGGACUGCCAGCACAGUGUCACCUCUCACUCUCUCUCAGUGCUGUGAGAGUAUGGGUUCCUCUCCCACUUGAGUGCUGGCUACAGAACUUGGCUUCGCACUGCUGGGCUGUGCACCACGGCCCUAAGCUGGAGGGCAGUAAGGGCAGUACCGCUGCAGCCGCAAUGAGAGAGGGGCUGUGCGUUGUCUACAGAAUUCCCUCCCCAGAGAAACUCAGAGCUGCCACCUACUGAAAUGUUCAGCUGGAAAAAAUGAAUCUGGGAAAGAAGAUGAGAACAAGAUUUCAGAAAGCUGUGAGAAAAUAACCAUGAUAUCAUCAUGCCUUUUCUGGAUUAAGAGGGAGACACUAUCUCUAGCUU
rnacentral:lncRNA from 10 species